rnacentral:rRNA from 1 species
CAAAAACAUGGUUUCUUGAUUUAUAUUUAAGAGAUCUAACCUGCCCACUGAAUUUUUUAAAGGGCCGCAGUAUUUUGACUGUGCAAAGGUAGCAUAAUCAUUAGUCUUUUAAUUGAAGGCUGGUAUGAAUGGUUGGAUGAGGUGAAUUCUGUUUUAUAUUAAUUAUGAUUGAAUUUAGAUUUUAAGUAAAAAGACUUAAAUGUAAUUAAGGGACGAGAAGACCCUAUAGAGUUUUAUAAAUGUAGUAAAAUUAAUUAGGUUAUUUAAAAAUUUUUUGUUAUUAUGAAAUUUAUUUGAUUGGGGUGAUUAGAAAAUAUGAAGAACUUUUCUUUAAAUUAAAUAUUAUAAUUAGUUUAAUGAUCCAUAAUUAAUGAUUAAAAGAUUAAAUU